UCCUGGCUUAGGAUGAACGCUGGCGGCGUGCCUAACACGAUGCAAGUCGAGCGAUUACUUCGGUAAAGAGCGGCGGACGGGUGAGUAACGCGUGGGUAACCUGCCUCAUACACAUGGAUAACAUACCGAAAGGUAUGCUAAUACAGGAUAAUAUAAGAGAUUCACAUGGAUUUCUUAUCAAAGCUCCGGCGGUAUGAGAUGGACCCGCGUCUGAUUAGCUAGUUGGUAAGGUAAUGGCUUACCAAGGCGACGAUCAGUAGCCGACCUGAGAGGGUGAUCGGCCACAUUGGAACUGAGACACGGUCCAAAUUCCUACGGGAGGCAGCAGUGGGGAAUAUUGCACAAUGGGCGAAAGCCUGAUGCCAGCAACGCCGCGUGAGUGAUGAAGGCCUUCGGGUCGUAAAACUCUGUCCUCAAGGAAGAUAAUGACGGUACUUGAGGAGGAAGCCCCGGCUAACUACGUGCCAGCAGCCGC
rnacentral:rRNA from 1 species